AGCGUUGUCCGGAUUUAUUGGGCGUAAAGAGCGUGUAGGCGGCUUUACAGGUCCGUUGUGAAAACUCGAGGCUCAACCUCGAGACGCCGGUGGAAACCGUAAAGCUAGAGUCCGGAAGAGGAGAGUGGAAUUCCUGGUGUAGCGGUGAAAUGCGCAGAUAUCAGGAGGAACACCCGUGGCGAAAGCGGCUCUCUGGGACGGUACUGACGCUGAGACGCGAAAGCGUGGGGAGCAAACAGG
rnacentral:rRNA from 1 species